UACGGGGGGGGCAAGCGUUGUUCGGAUUUACUGGGCGUAAAGGGCGCGUAGGCGGCGCGGUAAGUCACUUGUGAAAUCUCUGAGCUUAACUCAGAACGGCCAAGUGAUACUGCAGUGCUAGAGUGCGGAAGGGGCAAUCGGAAUUCUUGGUGUAGCGGUGAAAUGCGUAGAUAUCAAGAGGAACACCUGAGGUGAAGACGGGUUGCUGGGCCGACACUGACGCUGAGUGCGCGAAAGCCAGGGGAGCAAACGGG
rnacentral:rRNA from 1 species